AUUGAACGCUGGCGGCAGGCCUAACACAUGCAAGUCGAGCGGAUGAAGGGAGCUUGCUCCUGGAUUCAGCGGCGGACGGGUGAGUAAUGCCUAGGAAUCUGCCUGGUAGUGGGGGAUAACGUCCGGAAACGGGCGCUAAUACCGCAUACGUCCUGAGGGAGAAAGUGGGGGAUCUUCGGACCUCACGCUAUCAGAUGAGCCUAGGUCGGAUUAGCUAGUUGGUGGGGUAAAGGCCUACCAAGGCGACGAUCCGUAACUGGUCUGAGAGGAUGAUCAGUCACACUGGAACUGAGACACGGUCCAGACUCCUACGGGAGGCAGCAGUGGGGAAUAUUGGACAAUGGGCGAAAGCCUGAUCCAGCCAUGCCGCGUGUGUGAAGAAGGUCUUCGGAUUGUAAAGCACUUUAAGUUGGGAGGAACGGCAGUAAGUUAAUACCUUGCUGUUUUGACGGUACCAACAGAAUAAGCACCGGCUAACUACGUG
rnacentral:rRNA from 1 species